rnacentral:lncRNA from 1 species
UCCUUCUUCGCGACCGGAGAAGAUCGGCCUUCGAUUAACAGAAAAUGCCAGUUUCGAACAGCAGAAAUCCAGUAGAAACCCUAAAAUCCGAAGUCUCACCGGAAUCGACUCGAGAACGUCGGAAAAAUAACCCAAAACGUUCGAGUGAAGAAGAUAUACCUAGAUAUCACGCUGAAAGUCUCAGAUCAACAUCCAAUGUAGAUCGGAAUCAUCAUCGACCAAAUACGUCAUAAAUACCCCCAAAAAUUUCCAACGAGACUUCAACCAAGAUAACAAGAUGCAUGAAAGCAACGUCGGAUCAUCGUCUAGGCUCUGAUACCAUGAAAACAUCAAGAAAUCCAGACGAAAUCGAAG